GGUGGCUCAGUGGUAGAGCAUUUGCCUUGCAUGCGUAAGGCCCUGAGUUUGAUUCCUCAGCACCA
rnacentral:tRNA from 1 species